GCAAUGGACUGAAUUGCCUCACUGCCGUUGUACUGAGUUGGUAUCAUCCCAUGUUAUGUGCUCUGACUAAUGCAGCAGAAAUGCACUUCUAUGCCCACACCUCAUCUGGAUGCUGUUUGUGUUGCUGCAUGAUCUGGAGGCACCCAGACAGAGAAUGAGUGGUGAUGGAUCCACCAGGGAUGGGGCUUCUGCUAUACCUACAUAGCAGCAACAUGCCACUUACCCACAAUUUUCACCUAACCUUUGGAUUUCAUCUGGACUCACCAGAAUAUAAAUUUAUAAACUGAUGCAACACCCUGGCCAAGAAAGAGAAACGAGAAGAGAAGCAUGCCUACUUGCUAAGAAAACUGCACAGGAGCUGGCUUCCAGGACCAGCCCCUUCGGCGUAGCACACCAAUCGGGAGGCCCGGGAGCACAUGUGGAAUAUGUGGAAUGCUGCUCGCCGGCACGCCGGUCACGGCCACGGGCACAUCUGCUCUGCGGGACACGGAGAGCUGCCAGACAGCUCGGGUGUCGCGGAGCCCCCGCGCGGGAGGUGCCACGGUCCCGGCCGUGCCCCGGGUCCCAGCCCAGCCCAGCCGAACCAAGGGAGCUGUCACAGAGCGCCUCAGAGCCGCCGCUCCUGCUGCACCAGCCCUGGGGACACCUCAGCCUGAGGCCUGGCGUUGUGCCUUGCCCCUUCCGACGUUAUUCUUUCAUGGUUUCAUAAAAACAACCUCCUUUACCAUUGUAUUUAAUGUCUCUUCACUUUUCGCUGCAAGUCCUGGGCAUUGAAAGCCCCUCGUUUCAGGGGGCCGGCAGUGCUCCCCACCCUUAGGGUCAGCCUCACCUGGGAUUUCCUCCCUUUCCUGAGGCCGCAGGGCUGUCUGCCCUUCCUGAGGCUCCGGCUCCUCCUGCCAGGUUUGUUCCGUGCCAGCUCUGCUCGGUGCCUGUCAGCCACAGAGGUAAUUUUCUUCUUGCAUCUGUGGUGACACUCUAAGCACACGGCUCAGAAAUGGUAUUUAGGGACACAGACCCCGCUUCCCUGCUCCCUGCGUGCUCAGCCCUCGCCCCGGAGCAGGAUGAGAGGAAGGAGUGCGUGUCUGCUAACGCCUCCAAGCCAAAACUCAG
rnacentral:lncRNA from 1 species